AAAAGAAAAGGAAAAAAAGCAAACUGGUGUAUGGGCAACUGGUGAGGCUGCUGGGCAGCUGUCCAGGCGUUUGGAUGCACCGGGGAACGUCAUUCAACUGUGAAGGAGAUUCAGCUGGAAGGCCGAUGUCCAGACAGACAGCUUUUACUCCACGAGGUGUGACUGUGAAAAGGGUUUUUGCAGAGCUUUGCAGAGACAGACACAGUGUCUGUUUACCUGAAUUGUUCACAGGAUAACGGACUCUUAUCAUUUUGCUCUGACAGGAUAUGCAUCAUCUUCUGUGGCCAAUUUAUAUCUUUAAAAUGAACACAAUCGACCUUUAGACACUGACAAACUCUGGGGUAUUUAUUUUUACCGUAAAACAGCAGAAAACAACCCCCGCCUCUCUGACUCUCCCAUUAUGGCUGCUUUUCACACCCCCUCUCCUACACAUUACGUCACCUUUGACAGGAAAUGAGAUGCCACAGCUCAAGGUGUUAAGAGAUGUCUUCUCAAUUUCAAUCAGUGUCCUUUUUCCUGCCGUUGUCAAGGACGUGUGAUUUUACCCCAGAAGAUUUGGGCACACGGGCAAAACAAUAGAACGCAUCUGCUGCGUUCUCCCAUGGACGUUAUGCGAUGUAAGGCUCUCUCUGGGCAUCUCCUGCAGUUAUGCGUGGGGAAAUGCUGCCUCUAUGUGGUCUUUGAAAGCAUGUUCAGAGGGUAUGCUCCGUACAGCAUUAGCACACGUAUGUAUGUAUGUAUGCGUGUGGAUUAAAGCGAGUGAAAUGGAUAAACGUGAUCCAGAAGACGUAUUUCCUCAGCAAAGUUUUCCAGUGUGUUUGUGGUAUAGUUACGCGUUCCUCUUCAAAGGGAGGGAAUUGGACCUUGGGAAAGUACCGCAGCGCAGCUCGGGCCUCGUGUACGAGAUCACCUGAUGCACCAUGUGACAGAAAACCACAGAUCACAGACGAGACCUUGAUUUUCUCAGACCCACGGGGGACGUUAAAAGAGCUUCAGAUUUCGGGAACCAGAUGUCUGCGUUUCGUUUUCUGCCCACACAAAAAUAGACGGUGCAGCCGAGAAGGAAAUAAAACAUCUGCGUCUCACAAAGCAAUUUCUGCUAGUUUUUAAAAGUAGAUGCAGCUCGUGGGAAUCAAUGAAUUUGUAAGACUGCAUGGAUUAGAAAACAUAAUUAGUCUACAUAAACUGAUUGAAGUGCGGAAUGAUUAGCCUACUAUACCAGAACUACAGCUCAAAAUCAAUUCAAUCCAUUCAGUUCAUUAACUCAGAUAUUAUGUGGUAAGUUAUGUAAUCAUUUUCCAUGCAACAACUUCUUCUGGUUUAGACACUCAAAAGUGAGUGAAUAUCUUCAGCUUUCAGAAAAUUGGUCAGACCACGUCAACAUUUCAAAAAGGUCACUUGUAGCGUGAUUUGUACAGAAAUGAAUUAUCUGCAUAUCAAAUUGAUAGUGAAGGAUAUGGAGG
ensembl:lncRNA